rnacentral:rRNA from 1 species
UACGGGGGGGGCAAGCGUUGUUCGGAAUUACUGGGCGUAAAGGGCUCGUAGGCGGCCAACUAAGUCGGACGUGAAGUCCCUCGGCUUAACCGGGGAACUGCGUCCGAUACUGGAUGGCUUGAGUUUGGGAGAGGGAUGCGGAAUUCCAGGUGUAGCGGUGAAAUGCGUAGAUAUCUGGAGGAACACCGGUGGCGAAGGCGGCAUCCUGGACCAACACUGACGCUGAGGAGCGAAAGCCAGGGGAGCAAACGGG